ensembl:lncRNA
AUCUUCUCUUAGGCAGCAGAGACCCCAGAAGGCUGGACCAGCCAAGACCGACCUUGGGGAGUAGGAGAAACCUAGGGGGAUCUGCAGAGGAUCAGCUACAAAACUGGAAAUGUGGGAGAACCGGUGAAGACAAAGAAGCGAAGGUCAAGUGAAUUCAAGAAAUAAGUGCAGAAGUCACUCAGAUUGGGGAUCCCCUCGAGGAAUUGUGUCAUUCAAAAGAAAGAGAGGGUUGUCUUCUCACCAUCGCCCUUCAUUGUAUUCAUAAUUCCGUUUCCCCACGCAAAGAUCAGAGUACCUUCAAUUAUUAACUUUUGGAGAGUUGAGCAACACACUGAUUGAAGCAGGCUGGAAAGCCCCAUUCUUUGCUUUUCACAUCCAUGAAACUUUAUUUCUUCAAGGCCCUCCUCCUGGCUGCCCAUGGAAGAGUCUCCUUCUGCCUACCUGCCUUUGGAUCAAGAUGUCCAACUUUCAGCAACUUCUCCAGCACUAUGUCUGUCUAGGCUCUGUGAUGCUUCCUGCUCUGAUGCUAACAGACUGAACAUCUGAAACUGUAAGCCAUUCUCAGUUAAAUGUUGUCCUUUAUAAGAGUUGGCUUGGUCAUGGUUCACAGCAGUAAAACCCUAAGACAACAUCUCUCACAAACAUGAGUUUUAUUGCCCAGAAGUUAUGCUCAAGGUUUUAAAAGGAAGGGUCUAGGAUAUCUUGGUAGGGUGGUGCAGGCCUUAAUCACAACAUUCAGGAGGUCGAGGUGAAGGACCCUAGUUCUUACUGAAGUGUAAGAGCUAUUAAGAGGUUUGGCCUGGUAAAAAGUAAGUAGGUUAUGGGGUUCCUGUGAAGCAACCUAGGGGCUUUUGUCAGCCUUAUACCCACUGCCUCAGGUCAAGGCUAGGCCAAGUUCCAUUCUCCACCCACAGUUCUCUCUCGGAAGGAGCAGGAACAUUCUUGAAAAACUGCAGAAUGUACUGACUGAUAGUCACCUGACCCCCUGGUCCCAGAUAGAGUUUGAAUGCAU